rnacentral:rRNA from 1 species
AGCAGCCGCGGUAAUUCCAGCUCCAAUAGCGUAUAUUAAAGUUGUUGCAGUUAAAAAGCUCGUAGUUGAAUUUCGGGAUCAAUAUGCUGGUCGUGCCAUUGGUACGUACUAGUAUUAUUGGUUUCUUCCUUCUGAUGAAUCAUGAUGUCAUUAAGUUGAUGUCAUGGGGAAUCAGGACUGUUACUUUGAAAAAUUAGAGUGUUUAAAGCAGGCUCGCGCUUGAAUACAUUAGCAUGGAAUAAUGAAAUAGGACGUUUGAUUCUAUUUUGUUGGUUUCUAGGAUUGACGUAAUGAUUAAUAGGGAUAGUUGGGGGCAUUAGUAUUCAAUUGUCAGAGGUGAAAUUCUCGGAUUUAUUGAAGACUAACUACUGCGAAAGCAUUUGCCAAGGAUGUUUUCAUUAAUCAAGAACGAAAGUUAGGGGAUCGAAGACGAUCAGAUACCGUCGUAGU